rnacentral:rRNA from 1 species
UACGAAAGGGUGCAAGCGUUACUCGGAAUCACUGGGCGUAAAGCGUGCGUAGGCGGUUCGUUAAGUCUGCUGUGAAAGCCCUGGGCUCAACCUGGGAACUGCAGUGGAUACUGGCGGACUAGAGUGUGAUAGAGGAUGGUGGAAUUCCCGGUGUAGCGGUGAAAUGCGUAGAGAUCGGGAGGAACACCGGUGGCGAAGGCGGGGUCUCUGGGCCGUAACUGGACGCUGAGGAGCGGAAAGCGUGGGGAGCAAACAGG